rnacentral:lncRNA from 1 species
UUUAAAAAUAAUACAUUUAAUAUAAUAUGUUUUUAAAGUGUUUUUAUUUUAUUCUCAGCUCCUCUCACGCUGACCAUCCCAACCACAUUUCCCAUUCAUUUCCCAUUUUUCACCUUAGCCUCCAACAGAUCCAGACCAAUCUCCAUUGCCAUCCUCCUUAACAAAGAAGCAACACUUCACUAUCAAUAAAUGUGUAAGAGUGAAACAAGGACCUUGAAUAUGAUCAGUCCACUCUUAAUGCCAAAAGCUGAGCGUCAAACACCCAAACCUCUCUUCCUUCUCAAAUUAAUCCAAAACCACCAACACCCCAAAAUCAUCACAGCAAACAACCCAACAUCAUCUUUCACCUGCAUCAAACAAACAAACAGAAAUCAAAUCAUAAAUCCUAUGCCAAUUCGUUCAAAGUUGGUCCUCUAAGGCAGCCCUGACCAAUUGAAACUGUGGUGACCGUUGUGAAAUGAAAAGGAGAUGACCCCGAAAGCACGUUAAGGAACUGAAGGUGAAGGAAGAGGUUGUCCUCCUUUGUUUGGGCAGGGAAACUUUAAGAGAGGAUUCUGACACGACAGCGACCCCAGCGACAGUCAGUGGCACCGGCGGCACCCAUCUCGCGUUUCUAUGGCGGCGGCUCAUGACGGCGGUGAUGGAGAAACAGUGACAGACGACGUUCGAGGGUGGAAGAGAAGGAAAAGGGGGUGACGUCGUGGCCGACUGUGAUUCCGGUGACGUUUGCCGUCGCUGGUGACGUGGUGGGCGUGGUAGAGAGUGCAGGUCCAAGGGGGAGAGAGACUCUGGAGGCUGAGAGGAAUGUUAGAAUGAAGUGAGAAAGUUGAACCCCUAAGGGAAAUUCUAGGUUAAAUGAAACCUGGGCCUAGGUUUUGGGCCGGUUUUUUUUUUUAUAAAAAAAAUAAAACUCUCUCUUGCAUCUUUGCCUUACAAAUAUAAUACAUACGUGUUUUUUUUUUAAAUAAAAAUUUCACGUAAUGUAUUCAUUUAAAUUAAAUAAUAAAUACCUGUUACAGAUCAGUACAGUGCAAACGGCGUUACUGGUCAGUUAACGGAGAGGGCUUAAUUGUUCCAAAUUUACAAAUAUUAGGACGCAAUUGGGACAAAAAAAAACAUGGAGACCCAAUUGAGAAUUGGGUACAAAUAUGAG